rnacentral:lncRNA from 1 species
GGGAAGGCACGUUCUCUGGAUGGUGGUGAUGUGGAAUGAGGAUUGAACUGUGAAGAAAUUGGAAAAGAAUUCAAAUGAGACGAAGUAGGUGAAGACAAUAAAAGACAGAAUGUCCACUGGAAUCAGAGCCUGCCCAGUCUCUAAUCAGUAAGCAGUCCUAAUUUGGAGAGAAGACAUGAACAGAUUCAAGGAGUCCAGGCAUGACAUUAACAGGAACUAAAAAACAUGUAGAAAGAAAUCGCCCUAUGCUGCUCUGUCAUCAACAGAUCGCUUCUGCUUUCCUCCCACGCUUGCCUGAGGCUCUCUUUUAAGGCACAGGCCAGAAAUUUAGUCUGCAACACGAAGAACAUCCUCAGAGUCUCAUGAAAAGGACUCUGCCAGCUAUUUUGAACAAUUGAUGUUUCAAGGAAUAGACUUUGGAGCUGACAUCUCUUAGAAGAUUGUCAAAGGGACUUAGGAUUUCCAGGAUGCUUUUGAAUUCAGUACCAGAUAAUUUCAUGAAAGCUGACUGAUGACUCGAAUGAAACGAA